UACAGAGGUCUCAAGCGUUGUUCGGAUUCAUUGGGCGUAAAGGGUGUGUAGGCGGACUUUUAAGUCAGGGGUGAAAUCUCUGGGCUCAACCCAGAAACUGCCUUUGAUACUAUUAGUCUUGAAUCUUGUUGAGGUGGGCGGAACGGGUCAUGUAGCGGUGAAAUGCAUAGAUAUGACCCGGAACACCGAUUGCGAAGGCAGCCCGCUAAGCAAGCAUUGACGCUGAGGCACGAAAGCGUGGGGAGCAAAACGG
rnacentral:rRNA from 1 species